UCUCAGAUGGUCCAGUGGUCAAGAUUUCCGCCUGUCACAAUUGCAAACAAUUUCGUACUUUAACUGAGUGCGCUGUUUGCUAGCUCGCGGACGACCGGGGUUCGAUUCCCCGUCUGAGAG